AGUAUCAUAUAAGAAACAUUAUUACCAAACAGAAAAGGCAGCAUGAUCAUCUUCUACCUGAUCGUUCAUUUGAACAUGUUUCUGGUUUCAGGCUCCUCGAACAGUGACAAAGUCGACCAGACUCCACAGGACAUUUUCAUCAAACCGGGCAAAGAUGCCAAAAUCAACUGUAAACACAAGAUCGAUAACUAUGACCGGAUCCUCUGGUACAAGCAGUCAAACAAACAGAUGCAGCUCCUGGGAUAUAUGUUUACAACCAGCUCAAAUCCAGAGAAAGACGUUAAAGUGAAGAUGGAAGGGGACGCGAAUAAAGGAAAGAACUGCACGUUAAUAAUCGAGCGAGUCAAUCAGAACAGCAGUGCGGUCUAUUUCUGUGCAGCUAGUUUCCACAAUGCUGCAUGUCACUGCUCAGUAGUACAAAAACCUCCUCUUCAUCUCUACUGAACACCUGGAUUUCCUUUCUGAUAAUGUGGUUUAUUUUCAGCCUUUUUACUGAGCUGGUGUUGUGUGUCUGUGGUUGACGUGAUGCUAAGAGGAGGAGGAUAAACUACGGCUCCGCCCACCUUAUGACUACCUGUUCAGUUUGCUGAAAGGAGGUUUUAUGACAAGAGGAGGCUGGAAAAAGUCACUGAGAGUAUCAUAUAAGAAACAUUAUUACCAAACAGAAAAGGCAGCAUGA